GAUGAACGCUGGCGGCGUGCCUAAUACAUGCAAGUCGAGCGAACGGACGAGAAGCUUGCUUCUCUGAUGUUAGCGGCGGACGGGGGAGUAACAAGUGGAUAACCUCCUUAUAAGACUGGGAUAACAUCGGGAAACAGGAGCUACUAAUGGAUGAUAUUCUGAACCGCAUGGUUCAUAAGUGAGAGACGGUCUUGCUGUCGCUUGUGGAUGGAUUCGCGCUGUAUUAGCUGGUUGGUAAGGUAACGGCGUACCAAGGCAGCGAUGCAUAGCCGACCUGAGAGGAUGGUCGACCGCACUGGAACGGAGACGCGGUCCAGACGCCUACGGCGGGAAGCAGUAGGGAAGCUUCCGCGAUGGUCGAAGGCCGGACGAAGCAGCGCCGCGGGAGUGAGGAAGGUCUUCGUAGCGUAAAACUCUGUUAUUAGGGAAGAAGAUAUGUGUAAGUAUCUGUGCACAGCUUGACGGUACCUAGUCAGAAAGCCACGGCUAACUACGUG
rnacentral:rRNA from 1 species